rnacentral:rRNA from 1 species
UGGUGGCGACCGGCGCACGGGUGAGUAACGCGUAUGCAACCCACUUUAUCAGAGGGGAAUAACCCGGCGAAAGUCGGACUAAUACCGCAUAAAACAGGGACACCGCAUGGUGAUAUUUGUUAAAGAAAUUCGCUGAUAGAUGGGCAUGCGUUCCAUUAGGUAGUUGGUGAGGUAACGGCUCACCAAGCCGACGAUGGAUAGGGGAACUGAGAGGUUGGUCCCCCACACUGGUACUGAGACACGGACCAGACUCCUACGGGAGGCAGCAGUGAGGAAUAUUGGUCAAUGGGCGAGAGCCUGAACCAGCCAAGUCGCGUGAAGGAAGAAGGAUCUAUGGUUCGUAAACUUCUUUUGCAGGGGAAUAAAGUGCAGGACGUGUCCUGUUUUGUAUGUACCCUGAGAAUAAGGAUCGGCUAACUCCGUGCCAGCAGCCGCGGUAAUACGGAGGAUCCGAGCGUUAUCCGGAUUUAUUGGGUUUAAAGGGUGCGUAGGUGGUUUGAUAAGUCAGCGGUGAAAGUUUGCAGCUUAACUGUAAAAAUGCCGUUGAAACUGUCGGACUUGAGUGUAAAUGAGGUAGGCGGAAUGCGUGGUGUAGCGGUGAAAUGCUUAGAUAUCACGAAGAACUCCGAUUG